GAGUUUGAUCGUGGCUCAGGAUGAACGCUGGCGGCACGUCUGACACAUGCAAGUCGAGCGGUAAGCCACCUUCGGGUGGCCUAGAGUGGCGAACGGCUGAGUAACACGUAGGAACCUACCCCUCAGCUCGGGAUAACAGUCCGAAAGGACUGCUAAUACCGGAUAAUACAGCAAUGUUGAAAGGUUUACUGCUGAGGGAGGGGCCUGCGGGCUAUUAGCUAGUUGGUGAGGUAAUGGCUCACCAAGGCGAUGAUGGCUAGCUGGUCUGAGAGGAUGAUCAGCCAGACUGGGACUGAGACACGGCCCAGACUCCUACGGGAGGCAGCAGUUCAGAAUCUUGCACAAUGGGCGAAAGCCUGAUGCAGCGAUGCCGCGUGGGUGAAGAAGG
rnacentral:rRNA from 1 species